rnacentral:misc_RNA from 1 species
GCAUAACUGGAGGUCUUGUCCACAUUCACAGCAUGUCUGAUGUCCGCAACCAAAGGCCAUAUCCUUUGCAUUGGCAAGGCAAAUAGGACAAAGAUGACUAUCAGCAGAAGCAGAGUUUGCAGGAGGUGCUGUACUGGCUGCAUCAUAUCUACCAGAAGAUGGUGCAUUUGAAUGAAAACUGCUUGAUCGUGAAGGUUUUGAG